rnacentral:rRNA from 1 species
AUUGAACGCUGGCGGCAGGCCUAACACAUGCAAGUCGAGCGGAUGAGUGGAGCUUGCUCCAUGAUUCAGCGGCGGACGGGUGAGUAAUGCCUAGGAAUCUGCCUGGUAGUGGGGGACAACGUUUCGAAAGGAACGCUAAUACCGCAUACGUCCUACGGGAGAAAGCAGGGGACCUUCGGGCCUUGCGCUAUCAGAUGAGCCUAGGUCGGAUUAGCUAGUAGGUGAGGUAAAGGCUCACCUAGGCGACGAUCCGUAACUGGUCUGAGAGGAUGAUCAGUCACACUGGAACUGAGACACGGUCCAGACUCCUACGGGAGUCAGCAGUGGGGAAUAUUGGACAAUGGGCGAAAGCCUGAUCCAGCCAUGCCGCGUGUGUGAAGAAGGUCUUCGGGUUGUAAAGCACUUUAAGUUGGGAGGAAGGGCAGUAAGCUAAUACCUUGCUGUUUUGACGUUACCAACAGAAUAAGCACCGGCUAACUUCGUGCCAGCCGCCGCCGUAAAAC